rnacentral:rRNA from 1 species
CGGACGGGUGAGUAAUGUCUGGGAAACUGCCCAUGGAGGGGGAUAACUACUGGAAACGGUAGCUAAUACCGCAUAACGUCGCAAGACCAAAGAGGGGGACCUUCGGGCCUCUUGCCAUCGGAUGUGCCCAGAUGGGAUUAGCUAGUAGGUGGGGUAACGGCUCACCUAGGCGACGAUCCCUAGCUGGUCUGAGAGGAUGACCAGCCACACUGGAACUGAGACACGGUCCAG